rnacentral:rRNA from 1 species
GACGAACGCUGGCGGCGUGCCUAAUACAUGCAAGUCGAGCGAAGUUUUUCUGGUGCUUGCCCUAGAAAAACUUAGCGGCGAACGGGUGAGUAACACGUAAAGAACCUGCCUCAUAGACUGGGACAACUAUUGGAAACGGUAGCUAAUACCGGAUAACAGUAUUUCUCGCAUGAGGGAUAUUUAAAAGUUGGUUAUGCUAACACUAUGAGAUGGCUUUGCGGUGCAUUAGCUAGUUGGUGGGGUAAAGGCCCACCAAGGCGACGAUGCAUAGCCGACCUGAGAGGGUGAUCGGCCACACUGGGACUGAGACACGGCCCAGACUCCUACGGGAGGCAGCAGUAGGGAAUCUUCCGCAAUGGGCGAAAGCCUGACGGAGCAACGCCGCGUGAGUGAAGAAGGAUUUCGGUUCGUAAAGCUCUGUUGUUAGGGAAGAAUGGAUAUGUAGUAACUAUACAUGUAAGAGACGGUACCUAACCAGAAAGCCACGGCUAACUACGUG